CCCCCGGUCCGACGCGGCGGCCCGCCGUGAACCGGGUCAGGUCCGGAAGGAAGCAGCCCUAAGCGGUGAGGGUCGGGUGCCGUCGGGCAGCCGGGGGUUU
rnacentral:SRP_RNA from 1 species